GGGAACUCUGCUAAACAUUUCUCCCUCUCUCUUUCCUCCUUUCCUCCAAAUUGAAAAUCUGCAAAAUUUUCACACACUAUCCCACUCACAAAUUCACCUACUGACCAAAUUUCAAAGAAUCAUGGUGGACCACAAAAGAAAACGCGGCCGGAAGCCCAAAAUCUCCGUUUCGGAAACGCUAGAACUGGACCAGAACCACACCCCAACAAUUCCGGGCUCAGUCCCGGGCCCGAGCUCAAGCCCGACCGCUAACUCCGACGACGUCGUUUUCUCCGUCAGCAACGUCGAGCUCAUCGACCCGCACCACCACCACCACCACCACAACCAUUCUCAGUCGUCCAAUCACGAGCGUCGCCGCCGUGGUCGCCCACCCAAGAAGACGAAAUUGCCCUCGUCGGAACCCUCCAAAGCCAUAAGAGCCGCCUCCCCUACUCGCCUUCUCCUAGACAAAGCUAACAACGGCCCCACCGCUUCCCUCAUUUCCUCCUCCAUGGUGGCGGGGGGGGAGAGUGUUGCUGCGGCGGCGAGGGUGGUCCCGGCGAUGGAUGCUGUGGUGAAAGUGUUUUGUGUUCACACGGAGCCGAAUUUUUCGCUCCCGUGGCAGCGGAAGAGGCAGUAUAGUUCGAGUAGUAGUGGGUUUGUGAUCAGUGGGAGGAGGAUUUUGACGAAUGCGCAUUCGGUCGAGCAUUAUACGCAGGUGAAAUUGAAGAAGAGAGGAUCGGAUACUAAGUAUGUCGCCACUGUUCUUGCCAUUGGAACUGAAUGUGAUAUUGCUAUGCUUACAGUGGAGGAUGAUGAAUUCUGGGAAGGGGUAUCCCCUGUAGAAUUUGGAGAUUUGCCUGCACUUCAAGAUGCAGUGACAGUUGUUGGGUACCCAAUUGGGGGAGACACGAUUUCUGUGACAAGUGGUGUUGUUUCACGUAUAGAAAUUCUGUCUUAUGUACAUGGAUCCACUGAACUUCUGGGGUUACAGAUAGAUGCUGCCAUAAACUCUGGAAAUUCUGGUGGUCCUGCCUUCAAUGAAAAGGGUAAUUGCGUGGGUAUUGCAUUUCAAUCCCUUAAACACGAGGAUGUGGAGAAUAUUGGUUAUGUCAUACCAACUCCCGUCAUCUUGCACUUCAUUAAAGACUAUGAGAAGAAUGGAGCAUAUACUGGUUUCCCAAUACUUGGGGUUGAGUGGCAGAAGAUGGAAAAUCCAGAUCUACGAUUAUCAAUGGGAAUGAAACCUGAUCAGAAGGGUGUUCGUAUAAGAAGAAUUGAUCCUACUGCUCCAGAAUCAGAUUUGUUGAAGCCAUCAGAUAUUAUCCUUAGCUUUGAUGGAGUUGACAUUGCAAAUGAUGGAACAGUUCCAUUUAGGCAUGGAGAACGAAUUGGGUUCAGUUACCUUGUAUCCCAGAAGUAUACCGGAGACAGUGCAGCAAUCAAGGUUCUCCGAAAUUCCGAGACCAUCAAAUUCAAUAUUAAACUCGCAUCCCAUAGAAGUAUGGAAAGGACUACGAGUAUGAAGCUCCAGUCAAGCUUCUGGACAAACUCCUACAUGAAAUGCCCAAAUCACCAGAUGAACAAAUUGUUGUGGUUUCCCAGGUACUCGUCGCUGACAUCAAUAUUGGGUACGAGGACAUCGUUAAUACUCAGGUUCUGGCUUUCAAUGGUAAACCUGUUAAAAAUUUGAAGAACCUGGCCAGUAUGGUAGAGAGCUGCAAUGAUGAGUUCUUGCAAUUUGAUUUGGAAUAUCAACAAAUUGUGGUCCUCCAGACUAAGGGUGCAAAAGCUGCAACAUUGGACAUUCUUACUACCCACUGUAUACCCUCUGCUAUGUCUGAUGACCUCAAGAUAUGACUUCAGAUUUUGCACGACAAUCUGACUUGCUUCAGUCAUUUUUCCUAGUAUUCUUCUGCUUCGAUUAUUUCACAUUAUUUGAGAGAUAAGGAUCUGGGAUAUCAAUCAGUGCUGUGCUGUAGAAGGGACUUUAGUUAGCUAGUCACGUAUGGUUUUAAACUAUGAUAAUCAAAUGUAGGUAACGAGUGAAUGAGGUGGCAUAAUGGAGAAAGAAGUCAACUUGCAAGCUUCUGCAAUCUCUCUUUCUAUCCUUGUUGCCUCCCAGGUGUUUGUUUUACUUUAUUUCUAUUUUUUGUCUUUUACUUUCAGUAUCCCUUUUUUUUUGGGGUUUUGGAGGUUGUUCCUCUUACCCUUUAGGGGAGUAAUCCAACUCCCUUUUGUUAAGGAACAAAUGUUGCUAGUUAUUGGCAUGCACAGUUUGUUCAGACAAAUAUUAGGAAGAAAUGAAUGGGAGCUAGGGUAAGAAGGCUUACCCAUCCACUGUAAGAAGAAUGACUCUAGGAUGAAUCAUUAUUACUAGUCAAAAUACAUCUCAUUAUCACCUUCAGUUAGGAGAUCAUUUAAAGCAUGCCUUUUAAAGGUUGAAUUCAGAUGAAGGGUCAUAUUACUUGGCCAUGUCUCUCUCACAUUCACAGCA